rnacentral:misc_RNA from 1 species
AACGCACAUUGCGCCCUUUGGUAUUCCGAAGGGCAUGCCUGUUCGAGCGUCAUUAUCACCCCUCAAGCCUGGCUUGGUGUUGGACUCUCGGUCUGUUACAGGACCGGUCCCAAAGAUAAUGGCAGGUUGGUCGCAACCUCGGUACACUGAGCUUUCACAAGCACGUACUUGCAGGCGGCGAGCAGCCUGGUCUACCCCCCAAUUUUUAUAAGGUUGACCUCGGAUCAGGUAGGGAUACCCGCUGAACUUAA